UAUGAAAGUUUUCUUCGUAAAUUUUUUAUUUGUGUUUCCUUUGAUGAUCUAGACAACUGUCGUUUGUCAUUUGUUUUCAAAUUAAUAAUUGUGUUUGUGAAGCAGACGAUAUGUUUUCAUUUCUAAUAAGAAACUUGGUGUUUGCUUGUGCUUGGUCUGUUUGUUCCUAAUUUGGAAAAGUAUUCCUUAAACUUCUUGGUUAUCAGCUCUAACCAAGUUUUCACAUUUAAGAUUUUUUGACUAAAAAGAUGUUUUUCACUGGAGGAGCUGGGACUGGGUACAUCAGAAGCCCCUGUGUAGUUGAGCUGUUGGAACUUUAUUUCUUGCGAGAAGUAUGUCCACUCUAUAUUAAUGGAGAAAAAUGCACUGCUCAGCAACUGCCACUGCUCAGUUUCAACUAUGUGUUCAGCAGAUCCUCCAGAAACUGCAUCUUCAACUGUUCAACAGCAGAUCUGUCAACUUCAGGUUGAGCUGCAGCUGGCCUUCCCUUUACAGCUAAUAUUGGCUGCUUCUGGGAGUGAUAGCAUUCAGCUAAGGCUUCAGCCAACUAAUAAAAGGAAUAACCUUAACAUUGCCACGGAAUCAGUCAUUGCAAAGAUUUCACUAUACAAUAGCGACGAAAUUAACGGUGAAGAAGUUAAAUAUAAAAAACAGAGCUGAGAAACACUCAAUUGAUAAUUCUCCCAGCAAAGAUUCAUCGAGUAGUUCAUUCAGGGCUAAGAAAGAGAAGUCAAAGUUGGAGAAGGAGCUGUUGUCUUCUGUGGUCUCUGCAAUCGAGCUUAUGUCUCAUGUUGAGUCAGCUUACAAAGAUAGGGAAGUUGAAACAUACACCAAGCAAGUAGAAAAGUUUGAGUUGCACAUUCAUGAGUUCACACUCUAAGUGGAAGAGCUCAACAGCACUAUUAUCGACAUCAGCAGCCACAAAACUCGUUUGAAAACAUUGAACUGACCAAGGAAGUACGAGAGCUGAAAUUCAGCUACGAAAACAUCAGCUAUUUGAAAAGCAACUCAGCUCAAGCCAAAUAAAUUCGAAGAUCUGCGUCGUCGCUUUGAAGACAAAAAACGCCGCCGUUCCCCUUUGGAAGGUAAUUUGCACUCAGUCAAAAUUGAGCUGGAGUCGAUCCGCGUUCAGCUGGAAGAGGAAGCGGAAGCUUGCUUGGAUUUGGAACGUCAGCUCUCCAAAGUCAACCAGGAUUGUCUGUCUUGGAAAUCCAAGUACGAACAUGCCUGCACUUUUCACACCGAAGAGAUCGAAGAAAUCAGGUGACUUAACUGGAAAAACAGAUCAGCGCUCUGAUCUCCAAAUGCUCAGGUUUGGAGAAGAGCACGUUACGUUUACAGAGUGAGGUAGACGUUCUCAUCAUCGAUUUGAAGAAGGCUAAUAGCACCGCUCGAGAGAUGCAGAAGCGCAGCAAGCAACUGGAGCUCAUCAACAUUGAAUUCAAAUCCAAGUUGGAUAAGAUUGAGCUGACUGUCCUAUACGACGCUUCCCCUCACGAACUGAACAAAACUCGCGAACGGAAAGAUCAGCUUACCCGUGAAAACAAGAAAUUGGAUGAGAUCGCUGAGCUGAAGAGCCAGUACUCUGAAGUCUGAACUCAACAGCAGAUUCUAUUAGUUAGAAAUUGAAUAUCGCCGUCUAGAAAACGAACUUGAAGAGUUGCGUUAACCAUACAAAGAAAUCCAGAGACUGCUCGUAAAGUUGAAGAACAUCGCGUUCGUCGCAUGGAAUGGCAGCUUAGAUGAACCAAUCAAUCUCGAUAUGGAAAGCCGACUUACCGAUGAGGAGGAAGAUCUCAAGUCUAUAAAGAAGCAAAUGUCAGCAAAUGUCUAUAUCGAAAUCUUGUCCAUGCGGAAACCAAGUUGAAAACCGAAAUCCAGCGCAUUCGGAAGAAGAUGAUAAUCACAAUCACCGAGUUGGAAAUGGGGGGUAACUUAAUCUCGGGGGUCGGGGAACUAAAGCUCGGGGAAAAUGGCUACGACCGAGUCCCCGUUCAAACGGAGUGACGGGUAAACAAAAAAAGAUUAAAACUCGGGGAAUUGACUCGGGGACGGGGAGUCGGGGAAUGAUUUUUUUGGGCUGACGGAGUAUGGCACGUUAGGCCUAUUUGGCUCACAUCUAUUUGAUGAAAAAUACCGAAAAAUAUUUGUAAAAUCCGUUAAAAUCAAAUUGCAAUGAUAAUUUUUAAAAUAAUUUUUAAAAUAAUUUUUAAAAUAAUUUUUAAAAUAAUUUUUAAAAAUAUCGAUAUUUUUAAAAUCAGACCGCAAACAAAUCAAAAAAAUUUUGAAAAUCUGUUUUUUUUUCUUUUUUAAAAUUUGCAGUUUGUCUUUCACUCAACAUCUUAAUAAUAUUUUCACAUUUUUUUUUUAUUUUUAAAAAUAAUUUAAAUUGAAAAUCUUUUUUUUUCUUUUUUAAAAUUUGCAGUUUGUCUUUCACUCAAUAUCUUAAUAAUAUUUUCACAUUUUUUUUUAUUUUUAAAAAUAAUUUAAAAAAUGUUUUAAAAAUGAGAGCCUAAUCCGGUUUUUUUGCAUGUUUGCAUAUAAAAAGGAACUUGGAAGUCAGUUGUGUGUCAAUAGAAGAAUGGAUUUAAAUAGUCCAAUUUUCAGUUUUAAUUCAGUUUCAAAACGGAAACUUCAGGGACAUUUCUAACAAAAACGACAAAACCUUACCGCGGUCAUAUUCCCGAAUUAAUUUUUCUUAUAAUAAAUCUUAAAUAUAGGUCAAAAUAAGACUUUUUGCGGUGUUCUGCCGAAUAAGGUAACAAUGUAUUUGAAUAUGAACAUGAAUAAAAUGGAAGUUGGAUCGAA
rnacentral:lncRNA from 1 species